UUUCAACUUUUUAUUUGGGUUUUUGUUUCUUUUUCCGGUGAAGCUGUUUUAUGUUUGUUUACUGUAUAAAAUGUAGUAGAGUUUAAUGGGUUUUGAUUAGAAAUGACGAUGGUUCUUAAUUUUUGGAGUUUUAAUGGAAGUUCUGAAUCUGGGUUUAGGGUUUAAGUUGGAAUUGAAUUUGGGACUAUAAUCCAAAACUGAGUUUUAGUCGGAUUGUGUAUUUAAUGCUUACAAUUUUUUAUUUUUGCAGGAGCUCGAGUUUAAAGUCUCUACCUUUAGGUGGGAUUCAGUCUUUUAGAUGCCCAGGGACCUUCAAAGUCAAAUCUCAGAGGACAGGAGACACAGAGCAGUCUAGUGUUAACCUGAAUGAUUUUAAUUCCAAAUUCCUUAAGAGUCUUCCAUAUAAACUGGUGGUAGGAUGCAUCCCACUGUAUGUGGUGUUCAGGAUAGCGCAAA